GAUGAACGCUGGCGGCGUGCCUAAUACAUGCAAGUCGAGCGAACAGAUGAGGAGCUUGCUUCUCUGACGUUAGCGGCGGACGGGUGAGUAACACGUGGAUAACCUACCUAUAAGACUGGGAUAACUUCGGGAAACCGGAGCUAAUACCGGAUAAUAUAUUGAACCGCAUGGUUCAAUAGUGAAAGACGGUUUUGCUGUCACUUAUAGAUGGAUCCGCGCCGCAUUAGCUAGUUGGUAAGGUAACGGCUUACCAAGGCAACGAUGCGUAGCCGACCUGAGAGGGUGAUCGGCCACACUGGAACUGAGACACGGUCCAGACUCCUACGGGAGGCAGCAGUAGGGAAUCUUCCGCAAUGGGCGAAAGCCUAACGGAGCAACGCCGCGUGAGUGAUGAAGGUCUUCGGAUCGUAAAACUCUGUUAUUAGGGAAGAACAAAUGUGUAAGUAACUAUGCACGUCUUGACGGUACCUAAUCAGAAAGCCACGGCUAACUACGUG
rnacentral:rRNA from 1 species